GGGAUUGCCUCAGUAACGGCGAGUGAAGCGGCAACAGCUCAAAUUUGAAAUCUGGCCUUGGCCCGAGUUGUAAUUUGUAGAGGAUGCUUUUGGUGCGGUGCCUUCCGAGUUCCCUGGAACGGGACGCCUUAGAGGGUGAGAGCCCCGUACGGUUGGACGCCUAGCCUCUGUAAAGCUCCUUCGACGAGUCGAGUAGUUUGGGAAUGCUGCUCAAAAUGGGAGGUAAAUUUCUUCUAAAGCUAAAUACCGGCCAGAGACCGAUAGCGCACAAGUAGAGUGAUCGAAAGAUGAAAAGCACUUUGAAAAGAGGGUUAAAUAGCACGUGAAAUUGUUGAAAGGGAAGCGUUUAUGACCAGACUUUUUCCUGGCGGAUCAUCCGGUGUUCUCACCGGUGCACUUCGCCAGGUCGAGGCCAGCAUCGGUUUCCGUAGGGGGAUAAAAGCUUUAGGAAUGUGGCUCCUCGGAGUGUUAUAGCCUAUUGCAUAAUACCUUUAUGGGGACCGAGGUACGCGCUCUGCAAGGAUGCUGGCGUAAUGGUCAUCAACGA
rnacentral:rRNA from 1 species